GGGAAUAAAAGCAGGCUGCCCGAGUCAGCAGUGGCAACCUGCUCAGGUCCCCUUCCACGCCAUGGAAGCUUUGUUCUUUUGCUCUUUGCAAUAAAUCUUGCUGCUGUUCACUCUUUGGGUCCACAUGGCCUUUAUGAGCUGUAACACUCACCAUGAAGGUCUGCAGCUUCACUCCUGAAGCCAGUGAGAUCAUGGACCCCUGGGGAGGGACGAACAACUCCAGACGCGCCACCUUUAAGAGCUGUAACACUCACUGCGAAGGUCUGCAGCUUCACUCCUGAAGUCAGCGAGACCACAAACCCACCAGAAGGAAGAAACUCCAGACACAUCUGAACAUCUGAAGGAAUGAACUCUGGACACACAAUCUUUAAGAACUGUAACACUCACUGCGAGGGUCCAUGGCUUCAUUCUUGAAGUCAGCAAGACCAAGAACCCACUAAUUCUGGACACAUUUUGGCAGCCCAGAUGGGACUAUCGCCUAUCACCAAGCGAAUCGAGGCCAUCAAGCUACAGAUGGUCUUACAAAUGGAACCCCAAAUGAGCUCAACUAACAACUUCUACUGAGGACCCCUGGACCGACCUGCUGGUCCUUCCACUGGCCUAAAGAGUUCCUCUCUGGAGGACACUACAACUGCAGGGCACCUUCUUUGCCACUAUCCAGCAGGAAGUAGCUAGAGCAGUCAUUGCCACUAUCCAGCAGGAAGUAGCUAGAGCAGUCAUUGGCCAAAUUCCCAACAGCAGUUGGGGUGUCCUGUUUAGAGGGGUGAUUGAGAGGUGACAACGUGCCAGCAGCCCUUGCUCGCUCUCAGCACCUCCUCGGCCUCGGCGUCCACUCUGGCCCCACUUGAGGAGCCCUUCAGCCCACCGCUACACUGUGGGAGCCCCUCUCUGGGCUGGCCAAGGCUGGAGCCGGCUCCCUCUGCUUGCGGGGAGGUGUGGAGGGAGAGGCACAGGUGGGAACCGAGGCUGCGCACAGCGCUCGCAGGCCAGCAUGAGUUCCAGGUGGGCGCUGGCUUGGCAGGCCCUGCAAUCAGAGUGGCCGGCCGGUGCCGUCAGCCCCGGGCAGUGAGGGGCUUAGCACCUGGGUCAGCAGCUGCGGAGGGU
rnacentral:lncRNA from 1 species